rnacentral:rRNA from 1 species
GAACGGAAAGGCCCAGCUUGCUGGGUACUCGAGUGGCGAACGGGUGAGUAACACGUAAGUAACCUGCCUCUGGCUUUGGGAUAACUGCUGGAAACGGCAGCUAAUACUGGAUAUGACAUGUCAUCGCAUGGUGGUGUGUGGAAAGUUUUUUCGGCUGGAGAGGGGCUUGCGGCCUAUCAGUUUGUUGGUGGGGUGAUGGCCUACCAAGGCGGUGACGGGUAGCCGGCCUGAGAGGGCGGUCGGUCACAUUGGGACUGAGAUACGGCCCAGACUCCUACGGGAGGCAGCAGUGGGGAAUAUUGCACAAUGGGGGGAACCCUGAUGCAGCGACGUCGCGUGGAGGAUGACGGUUUUCGGAUUGUAAACUCCUUUUAUUCAUGGCGAAGGCAGGCUUGUUGUCUGUUGACGGUAGUGUUUGAAUAAGUGCCGGCUAACUACGUGCCAGCAGCCGCGGUAAGACGUAGGGCGCGAGCGUUGUCCGGAUUUAUUGGGCGUAAAGGGCUCGUAGGCGGCUUGUUGCGUCUGUCGUGAAAGGCAGUGACUUAAUCAUUGUUUUGCGGUGGAUACGGGCAGGCUUGAGGCAAGUAGGGGAGAUUGGAAUUCUACGUGUAGCGGUGGAAUGCGCAGAUAUGUGGAGGAACACCGGUGGCGAAGGCGGAUCUCUGGGCUUGUUCUGACGCUGAGGAGCGAAAGCGUGGGGAGCGAACAGGAUUAGAUACCCUGGUAGUCCAUGCUGUAAACGGUGGGCGCUAGGUGUGGGGCUCUUUUGUGGGUUCUGUGCCGUAGCUAACGCAUUAAGCGCCCCGCCUGGGGAGUACGGUCGCAAGGCUAAAACUCAAAGGAAUUGACGGGGGCCCGCACAAGCGGCGGAGCAUGCGGAUUAAUUCGAUGCAACGCGAAGAACCUUACCUGGGUUUGACAUCACCCGGACGCCUGCAGAGAUGUGGGUUUCUUCGGACUGGGUGACAGGUGGUGCAUGGCUGUCGUCAGCUCGUGUCGUGAGAUGUUGGGUUAAGUCCCGCAACGAGCGCAACCCUUAUCCUGUAUUGCCAGCAGUUCGGCUGGGGACUUGCGGGAGACUGCCGGUGUUAAACCGGAGGAGGGUGGGGAUGAGGUCAAGUCAUCAUGCCCCUUAUGUCCAGGGCUUCACGCAUGCUACAUUGGCCGGUACAGCGGGUAGCGAAGCUGUGAGGUGGAGCGAAUCUCUGUAAAGCCGGUCGUGGUUCGGAUUCGAGUCUGCAACUCGGCUCGAUGAAGGUGGAGUCGCUAGUAAUCGCAGAUCAGCAACGCUGCGGUGAAUGCGUUCCCGGGCCUUGUACACACCGCCCGUCACGUCAUGAAAGUUGGCAACACCCGAAGCCUGCGGCCUAACCGGUUUUUGCUGGGGGGAGUGGUCGAAGGUGGGGCUGGCGAUUAGGACG